AGUGAACGCUGGCGGUAGGCCUAACACAUGCAAGUCGAACGGCAGCACAGUAAGAGCUUGCUCUUACGGGUGGCGAGUGGCGGACGGGUGAGGAAUACAUCGGAAUCUACUUUUUCGUGGGGGAUAACGUAGGGAAACUUACGCUAAUACCGCAUACGACCUACGGGUGAAAGCAGGGGAUCUUCGGACCUUGCGCGAUUGAAUGAGCCGAUGUCGGAUUAGCUAGUUGGCGGGGUAAGGCCCACCAAGGCGACGAUCCGUAGCUGGUCUGAGAGGAUGAUCAGCCACACUGGAACUGAGACACGGUCCAGACUCCUACGGGAGGCAGCAGUGGGGAAUAUUGGACAAUGGGCACAAGCCUGAUCCAGCCAUACCGCGUGGGUGAAGAAGGCCUUCGGGUUGUAAAGCCCUUUUGUUGGGAAAGAAAAGCAGCAGGUUAAUACCCCGCUGUUCUGACGGUACCCAAAGAAUAAGCACCGGCUAACUUCGUG
rnacentral:rRNA from 1 species